rnacentral:rRNA from 1 species
GGAUUAGAUACCCUGGUAGUCCACGCCGUAAACGAUGGACACUAGUUGUUGGGAUUUAUUUCAGUGACUAAGCGAAAGUGAUAAGUGUCCCACCUGGGGAGUACGAUCGCAAGAUUGAAACUCAAAGGAAUUGACGGGGGCCCGCACAAGCGGUGGAGCAUGUGGUUUAAUUCGAUGAUACGCGAGGAACCUUACCAGGGCUUAAAUGUAGAGUGACAGGCUGAGAGAUCGGUUUUUCUUCGGACACUUUACAAGGUGCUGCAUGGUUGUCGUCAGCUCGUGCCG